AUGAGGGUGCUCAAUCUAGUUCAGACUCGCACUGCCAGGCUAAGAACCUCCCUAUACGCUGAUGACGCCAGAAUUUUUGCCAACCCGAACAAGGAGGAGUUACUGGCCAUCCGUCACAUCCUGGAUGUUUUCGCCGAAGCCACUGGACUAAGAACAAAUCUUGAAAAGACCGAAGUCUUCCCCAUCCGCUGCGAGCACAUUGACCUGGUUGACACUCUUUCGGUCUUCCCAGCCAAGCUGACCACCUUCCCCGGAAAAUACCUCGGUCUCCCCCUACACAUCCGACGUCUUCGGAAGGUGGACUUGCAACCUCUCAUUGACAAGUUCGGCGCUCGCAUCCCGGGCUGGAAGGGAAGAAACCUUACGCGGGCUGGCCGG
rnacentral:rRNA from 1 species